AGAGUUUGAUCAUGGCUCAGAACGAACGCUGGCGGUGUGCUUAACACAUGCAAGUCGAACGAGAAAGUUUCCUUCGGGAAGCGAGUAAAGUGGCGCAAGGGUGAGUAACACGUGAAUAAUCUACCCCCGAGACUGGGAUAACCUAGUGAAAACUAGGCUAAUACCGGAUAAGACCACGUCCCGCAAGGGAUGCGGGAAAAGGAGGCUCAACCUCCACUUGGAGAUGAGUUCGCGGACCAUUAGCUUGUUGGUGAGAUAAAAGCUCACCAAGGCUACGAUGGAUAGCCGGCCUGAGAGGGUGAACGGCCACACUGGAACUGAGACACGGUCCAGACUCCUACGGGAGGCAGCAGUGGGGAAUAUUGCGCAAUGGGCGAAAGCCUGACGCAGCAACACCGCGUGAGCGAUGAAGGCCUUAGGGUUGUAAAGCUCUGUCGAAUGGGAAGAAUUCUGACGGUACCAUUAGAGGAAGCCCCGGCUAACUCCGUGCCAGCAGCCGCGGUAAUACGGAGGGGGCAAGCGUUGUUCGGAAUUAUUGGGCGUAAAGCGUAUGUAGGCGGCCGAGUAAGUCAGGCGUGUAAGCCCGUGGCUCAACCACGGAAUUGCGUCUGAAACUACUCGGCUUGAGUGCAGGAGAGGAAAGCGGAAUUCCAGUGGUANCGGUGAAAUGCAUUGAUAUUGGGAAGAACAUCUGUGGCGAAGGCGGCUUUCUGGUCUGUUACUGACGCUG
rnacentral:rRNA from 1 species